rnacentral:tRNA from 1 species
GGGUUGCUAGCUCAAUGGUAGAGCAACAGACUCUUAAUCUGCAGGUUCAGGGUUCGAGUCCCUGGCGACCCACCA